rnacentral:rRNA from 2 species
UUAGUGCUGCAGCUAACGCAUUAAGCACUCCGCCUGGGGAGUACGGCCGCAAGGCUGAAACUCAAAGGAAUUGACGGGGGCCCGCACAAGCGGUGGAGCAUGUGGUUUAAUUCGAAGCAACGCGAAGAACCUUACCAGGUCUUGACAUCCCGCUGACCGCCUUAGAGAUAAGGCUUUCCCUUCGGGGACAGCGGUGACAGGUGGUGCAUGGUUGUCGUCAGCUCGUGUCGUGAGAUGUUGGGUUAAGUCCCGCAACGAGCGCAACCCUUGAUCUUAGUUGCCAGCAUUCAGUUGGGCACUCUAAGGUGACUGCCGGUGACAAACCGGAGGAAGGUGGGGAUGACGUCAAAUCAUCAUGCCCCUUAUGACCUGGGCUACACACGUGCUACAAUGGACGGUACAAAGGGCAGCCAACCCGCGAGGGGGAGCCAAUCCCAGAAAACCGUUCUCAGUUCGGAUUGCAGGCUGCAACUCGCCUGCAUGAAGCCGGAAUCGCUAGUAAUCGUGGAUCAGCAUGCCACGGUGAAUACGUUCCCGGGCCUUGUACACACCGCCCGUCACACCACGAGAGUUUGUAACACCCGAAGUCGGUGAGGUAAC